ACGGGUGAGUAACACGUGGGAACGUGCCCUUUGGUACGGAACAACUCAGGGAAACUUGAGCUAAUACCGUAUGUGCCCUUCGGGGGAAAGAUUUAUCGCCAUUGGAGCGGCCCGCGUCUGAUUAGCUAGUUGGUGAGGUAAAGGCUCACCAAGGCUACGAUCAGUAGCUGGUCUGAGAGGAUGAUCAGCCACACUGGGACUGAGACACGGCCCAGACUCCUACGGGAGGCAGCAGUGGGGAAUCUUGCGCAAUGGGCGAAAGCCUGACGCAGCCAUGCCGCGUGAAUGAUGAAGGUCUUAGGAUUGUAAAAUUCUUUCACCGGGGACGAUAAUGACGGUACCCGGAGAAGAAGCCCCGGCUAACUUCGUGCCAGCAGCCGCGGUAAUACGAAGGGGGCUAGCGUUGCUCGGAAUUACUGGGCGUAAAGGGCGCGUAGGCGGACAGUUAAGUCGGGGGUGAAAGCCCGGGGCUCAACCUCGGAAUUGCCUUCGAUACUGGCUGUCUUGAGUACGGGAGAGGUGUGUGGAACUCCGAGUGUAGAGGUGAAAUUCGUAGA
rnacentral:rRNA from 1 species